UUGAUCCUGGCUCAGAAUCAACGCUGGCGGCGUGCCUAACACAUGCAAGUCGAACGCGAAAGGGGAGCAAUCCCUGAGUAGAGUGGCGAACGGGUGAGUUACACGUGGGUGACCUGCCUUCGAGUGGGGGAUAACGUCCCGAAAGGGACUCUAAUACCGCAUGACAUCCCGUCUUUGAAGAGAUGGUGAUUAAAGCUGGUGAUCGCAAGACCUGGCGCUUGAAGAGGGGCUCGCGUCCGAUUAGCUAGUUGGUGGGGUAAUGGCCUACCAAGGCGACGAUCGGUAGCCGGCCUGAGAGGUCGGACGGCCACACUGGGACUGAGACACGGCCCAGACUCCUACGGGAGGCUGCAGUGGGGAAUUGUUCGCAAUGGGCGCAAGCCUGACGACGCAACGCCGUGUGGAGGAUGAAGAUUUUCGGAUCGUAAACUCCUUUCGAUCGGGACGAAUCGGUCGCGACCUAAUACGUCGUGGCACUGACGGUACCGAGAGAAGAAGCUCCGGCUAACUCCGUGCCAGCAGCCGCGGUAAUAAGGU
rnacentral:rRNA from 1 species